UCAACGCUGGCGGCGUGCCUAACACAUGCAAGUCGAACGCGACUGUCCCGCAAGGGACAGUUGAGUGGCAAACGGGUGAGUAACACGUGGGUGACCUGCCUUCGAGUGGGGGAUAACGUCCCGAAAGGGACGCUAAUACCGCAUGACAUCCUGCUCUUGGACGAGCGGAGAUCAAAGCUGGGGAUCGCAAGACCUGGCGCUUGAAGAGGGGCCCGCGCCUGAUUAGCUCGUUGGUGGGGUAACGGCCUACCAAGGCAACGAUCAGUAUCCGGCCUGAGAGGGCGGACGGACACACUGGGACUGAGACACGGCCCAGACUCCUACGGGAGGCAGCAGUGGGGAAUUGUUCGCAAUGGGCGCAAGCCUGACGACGCAACGCCGCGUGGAGGACGAAGAUCUUCGGGUCGUAAACUCCUGUCGAGUGGGAAGAACACUUCCCGGGUGAAUAACCCGGGAGGCUGACGGUACCACUAAAGGAAGCCCCGGCUAACUCCGUGCCAGCAGCCGCGGUAAUACGGGGGGGGCAAGCGUUGUUCGGAAUUACUGGGCGUAAAGGGCUCGUAGGCGGCCAACUAAGUCGGAUGUGAAAUCCCCAGGCUCAACCUGGGAACUGCAUCCGAUACUGGAUGGCUUGAAUUCGGGAGAGGGAUGCAGAAUUCCAGGUGUAGCGGUGAAAUGCGUAGAUAUCUGGAGGAAUACGGGUGGCGAAGCGGCAUCCUGGACCGACAUUGACGCUGAGAGCGAAAGCUAGGGAGCAAACGGAUAGAUAC
rnacentral:rRNA from 1 species